rnacentral:hammerhead_ribozyme from 1 species
AUCCAGCUGAUGAGUCCCAAAUAGGACAAAACGCGCGUCAAACUAGAU